GAAAAUAUGCAGGGGAACUACGUGUUGAGAAGGCGUUGCCUGACCCUUUGAACCUGUCGGUUAAUACCGUGGUAGGGAGCAUAAAAUGGUAUGAU
rnacentral:ncRNA from 2 species